AGCUGCAUGCUUGUCAAUUCCUGUAUCUGU
rnacentral:piRNA from 1 species